AUAAAGCUGUGCUCAUGUACAAUAAAAUGAAGCAGUGCAGAGAAGAUUAGCAUGGCCCCUAUACAGGGAUGACAUGCAGAUUCACAAAGCAUUCUAUUCUAUU